UGGGGAAUCUUCCGCAAUGGACGAAAGUCUGACGGAGCAACGCCGCGUGUAUGAUGAAGGUCUUCGGAUUGUAAAGUACUGUCAUUGGGGAAGAACGGUUUUCUUGAAAAGAUUGAGAAGACAUGACGGUACCCAAGGAGGAAGCCCCGGCUAACUACGUGCCAGCAGCCGCGGUAAUACGGAGGGUGCAAGCGUUGUUCGGAUAUAUUGGGCGUAAAGCGCGUGUAGGCGGUUUGUUAAGUCUGAUGUGAAAGCCCCGGGCUCAACCUGGGAAGUGCAUUGGAAACUGGCAGACUUGAAUACGGGAGAGGGUAGUGGAAUUCCUAGUGUAGGAGUGAAAUCCGUAGAUAUUAGGAGGAACACCGGUGGCGAAGGCGGCUACCUGGACCGAUAUUGACGCUGAGACGCGAAAGCGUGGGGAGCAAACA
rnacentral:rRNA from 1 species